UUCAGCUCGCGCCUAUUGCAUUCGCUUGCUAGGUUGACAUUGUAGUCAAAUGAACAUGAACGAGCUUUACAUUACACAUUUUAAUUGGCAAGUGAGGAGACUCAACGUAACAUGUUUUAGCCUUUAGAACAAGCGACAAAAAGCAUGAAGCUUACGGCCGGAGAAGGAAGAGGAUGUAGCACGAAGGCGGAGGAAGAGAGAAGGAGGAACAGGGUGGAAACAACAGCCCCCAUCUCACACUUCUAUCAGUUUGUGGGGUGCUAUUGUGGAGCCGCGCGCAGCACCGCAGACAAAGGGCUGCAGGGCUGAUGAAAGCCUGAGGAGUGUGGAGGGCAGGUGUUUUCCUGGGUCUCCAGGGAAACGGCGACUACACAUGCCCCACAGCCGCUGGGCAUGAUGGAUCGAUGGAGGCACAACUGACUCAGCACUUCAACCAGCCUGCCCGGGACCCGGGCGCAGAGGACCUGAUUGAAGCCCACUGUUAUCUCACAAACAAUAACAAGCAUUCAUCUUUUUAGUGUGCCGUGGAGGACCCUGGGCCUCCGCUGCACUCCACGGCUGGGGCAUCGCUGAGAAAUGAUGGGGCUGCUGUUGAC